GCUCAGUUGGUAGAGUACAAAGCUCUUAACCUUGUGGUCGUGGGUUCAAGCCCCAC
rnacentral:tRNA from 1 species